AUCUGAUCCCUAGUUCUCCAUACUGUGUGAUUGGUGUGCAAUCUUACCACCUUUUCCUCAUUGCAAAUAAGAAAGGAAAAAAAGGCAUCACAAGAAGCACAUUGCAAAAAUUGUACCUCAUCACCACAUGAGAAGGCAGUGAAUGAGGUUUGUAUAAUCAGCUUUGAACAACUUCAUCUUCAAAUGCAGAAGAGGUUGCUGAUACCAUGCUAUGCUUUUGAGUGGAGGACAAGGAGCCUGUGGCUGACCUGCAGGGUAACUGCAAUAAAAAAGGUAGGAUAAUAUUCUGAGAAGUGGGAUAAUAUUCUGAGAAGUGGGAUUCUCAAAGCUGACAGGUAAGGGAAAAGGAAGAUGGAGACAAGGGUGUGUGAGAAGCAGUUUUGCCGUGAGCCUCUGAGCAUCCUGGGGAGCAGCACAUCUCAGGUGUGUUUGCCUUGGCUUUCACUGGGUUUCUCCAAAUGUUCCCUAGUCCCAACUAACAUUAACCCUCCCUCCUUUAAAGACAGGAUAUUUGGGCUAGGUCUGCUGCUGAGGAAGGGGAGACCACCCCUGGGAAUGCAAACAGUGGCACAGUGUGGUAGUGUGGGUGCUGCAGCCUGUUCCAGAGCAUCCUGGUGGCUGACUUCUCCCUGCAUGCCUCAGAGCCUGGGGAGGAAGAGGAGACCAUGGAGCAGCAUGUGAGAUGAGAAAGCUGCUGGUUGCCACUGAGCUUUUUGAGACACUGCUUUAAUCAUGGCAUAGUUAUACAGCAGAGGUAUAUGGCCAUACCCUUAUAAUUAAUUAUGUGACUUAAUGAAUAAUUCUCCUGCCCUAUCAUUCUGUCUAGAACACAAGGAAGUUAAAACUUUUCAAUGUGCUUAGAAACAUCUAAUCUGAGGACCCCUUCAGUGACCAUCAGCACAGCCCCUGGUUUUCAUCACCCUGAGUAAAGAACAGUCUGAAGAUGAUGACAAUUUGCCAGUCCCAGUGUGUAACACUACUUCUAAUUCUCUUCAGUCAAGUCCAUCUUUAGGUUUGAUUCAUGCCACAAAGCACUGGAAUCUGCCACAAAACACAGCCUCUGCAGGGGCCAGCAGCUGCUUCAUGGUCCUUAUCCCCUGGGAAUUGACUGUGUCUCAGUGUGUAAGCUGUCAUGCCCUAUCAACAUCUCAUGCAUCAGCUUUUUCCUGUCUGCUGGUCUGAAGACAUUUCGAUAUCUGUAGGCUCCAGCAACACCUUUGUAUAGUAGUA